rnacentral:piRNA from 1 species
UAGGCCUUGGAUCUGAUGGAGAACAUUUGU